GGGUGCAGUGCGGCAGUUUGUGCGGGCAGCUGAUCCCCUUCUAUGAUCAAGUGACCUGCCUGCUCCCAAGGCAGAAGAACCAUAAAGAGGGGAAGUAGGAAUUUCCUUUGAACUGAUGUUUCUAAGGUGACCUCUAGGAAUUAGCAGCAGACUGGACUAUAUGGACUUCUGGAGUGUUGACAGCUGAUAGAAAGGAAGAGCUGGGACAUAAACUCCAAACAAGGAUACUCACGAGGCACUUUGUUAGGGAACACUGAGAGACAGCUGGGUUUGUACUUCAGCAACUGGAAAAGGAAAUCUUCAAGGAAUGGGAACUGUGGUUGACAGUACUACCUGUGCUUCAAGAUACAGAAACAGAACUGAGAUUGACUUGGGAGUUCUGCUGAUCUACAAAGAAAGAAGCACCCCAGGUCUCUGGGAGAAGCUGUUAAUAUGCUGUCUGAAGCAGGGAUGAAGAUUACCGAACUCACAGGGAACUUAAGCCAAUGAAAAGUGUCAGAGUAACAUCUUUUUCAAACUUUAUUUGAGGUUUCUCAGAGGUGUUAUCCAGUCUCAUAUACCUCUAAGGCCAUAUUCAGGAUUGAUCCCCCUGAGUCCUCAUAUUUUGUGUACAGAUACAAUUACAUUCAACAACUGCCCCAUGCUUUGGGCAGACAUUCAGAUCAUGAUUUCUUUCCGUCAAAAAGCUGAGAACACUUCUCAUAUUCACUUCUCCUCAGAGGAUCUAAGCUGCUUAGAAAUUCAUGUUACUUCCCUCCCAGAGAAGAAGCUGUUAUUGCUUAUUAUUUCUUACUAGAAAUGGAAACCUGAUUGGGGAGCUAUGUAAGGGAAAAUGUAUUUCCUAACUGUUCUUUAUUUAUGCAUUUUCCACUGGAAAGCCUCCAGUGUUUUGGACUGACCCUUCCUGACAUUGAAGUGUUUCUGAUGAAAAAAAAAAUUUGUUAAGCAAAAAUGUUACAAGGGUUUUGUCCAAGUUUUCCACUUACUUCUUUUGGUUAUGCUUCGGAGGUCACCUUCUGCAAUCAAAGUGUGGAGCUGCGGCAGGACAGCAGAGGGAGGUAGUGCUCAAAAGAGGAAGAAAGGUUUGGACUGCCUCCACAGUGCAGCCGCCACCAGUAACCACUCAGUGAUUUGCGUUCAGGCCAGCAGCAGCCCUCCAUUGGAAAGAAAUAAAAAUUAUAACUAAAUUAAUUUGCUCCGUUAUGUGUGGAUAAGCACCGGUGUAAAUAAUUGGGAGCUCAUCACCUCUCUGCACUUCUCCGUUGGCCAACAGCAGCAGCGGCCUCCUGAAAUGGGCCCUGCUAACUUUGCUGGUGAUCCUGCCAGUAAGCCCGUUGCCUUGUUGGCAAUUCUGCUCAGGUAGCGACCUUGCUGGGUUACAGAGGCAUGCUGUACUGACUUUAUUAAGGUGUGCCCUUUAUUGAGAGUGUGUUUAGUGCAUGUGUUGGGUCUCUAAUUAAAAUGCUAAAAUAUGGUUCCAGGAGAAAGUUUAACAGAUUAUUAUCUUUCCUGCACAGAAGAAAGAGAGUGCUAGGACAUAUCUGUUUAAAGUGACUGUGCAAAUGACAUUUUGAUGUUCCAUAUUUAUAGUAUUAUCCGACAGUAACUUGCAUAUUAAGGGUUAGAUUAUACCAGAGCUGCCCCCGAAAGAGAUCAGAGAAUGAAUAUGAGUCAUGACCACUCUCCUCAGCCAUCAAGCCUGUACCCUCCUGUGCUUGCCCCAGCCAGGGAGAAAUUUUGACCGAGAUAGCCACAAUGCCACCUUCUUCCAUGCUGACCUACAUAUCCCUGGCAGUGCAGCUUUUUGCCCCUGCUUUUCAAGUAAAGAGCAGGAUCAGUAAUGUCUGAUCUGAAACCCAGGCUCUGGUUUUAACUUGCCUGUCCCUGUGUGUCUUGCUCUUGAGGGUGUUGUUAAUGACAUGAGAAGACCAACUCUUCCCCUUCCCACUGCAACAUCUGACUGUGUCAUGAGUCAUAAGCUCCUGGUUUUUCAGCAGAGAUGAUGUGAGUCUCCCUGCAUAAUUUGUUUCUUGCAUUUUAUCUUUUAAACUUUCUUACAAAUAUUUUUGGGGAAAAAAAGUAAUUAGAGAGCUCCUGUAAGCUCUCUACAUACUGCCAGUCAACUAACUGGUCAGAGGUGGCUGCAGCAGC